CACAAUGACCCUGUGAGGGUGGCUUUUAGGGUGAAUCCCAUUUUACAGAUGACAUAACAGAGGCCCACAGAGGUGAAGCCAACUGCCAAAAGUGACACAGGGGGAGAAUCUAGAUGGAAACUCACUUCUCUCUGUUGCCAAAGCCCAAACUCCUACUCUUGCUACUUCCCUGAAUCUACAUCAUCUCAUAACAACUUGAUGAAGUGAGCUCAGUUACAACUCCCAUUUUGGAGAUGAGGAGACUGAGUGCAGAGAAGUGAUCCACCCACAUGCUGUGCUUGGGAGGUUUCCUUUAGAGCUUCUAAUGGCAAUAUGUUGUCUGUGAUGAAGAUUUAGACAAAUAGGAAGAUGCAGGGAUGGAACCCCAUAAUUUGGCCCACUGCUUUCAUCAGUAGAAAGAGAGGGAGUCGUCCAGAUGUGGACAACUGGAACAUCAAAUUAUGUGAAAGGGGGAAACCUUCUGAACAUCCAGCCAAUUGCUACUUCACUCUAAACUUUCUACACAGGAGAGGAAAGAGAACUUAGUAAAAGUUAGUAAAAAUUA